CGGGGAUUGUCAGUAGUGUUGUGGGCAGUGUUGAAGGAGGAACUUGACAUGGGAGGUCGACCAGCAGGAAGAUACAGCAGAAUCGGCGGCAGCAGCGAUGACGAGGGUAUCGCUACACAAGAUGACUGAAAUAGCUUGCAUGCUAGGGACGCCCUCUGGUCUUAAAGCUUCUUCAGCACAAAGGUGCUGCUCCUACCCGACUGGAGGACACCGCCCGCAUCGCUUUAGUCUGGAUUACUGGCAAGUUUGCCCAGCAUGCCCUAUUUAUAUUACCAGUACUUCUCUCCAUUAUUUUAAGUCUAUUCCAAACUUGUUUACCAAUGUCGCCGUCAAGCAAGUGGGAAAGUAUUACCCACUUGCUUAAAAGCCUAUUAAUUUU